CUGCUUUUAUCACAUAACUUUGAUGUAAAAAAAUAUAAAUGACCCAUAAAAUGAAAACCCCAUUGCCCAAAUGAGUGCCUUAUCCAGCAGGCUAUUGAGUUGAGCUGACUCUUGCAUGUUUUCAUUCUGGUCUUACCACUCUUGCAUCCUGAACAUGAACACAAAGCAGAACUGCAGUGCUUUAUUGCCAGCCAAGGCUUCCUUCCCAUUUUGUAAAAUAAGUGUGAGAAGGCUGGGGGAACGUGGUCGGCUGUAAUAUGGUUGUCGAAAGCAAGUGGCAUGGAAAGUCUUGCUGGCAUGAGAUCUCUAUACAUCUGAAUGAAGCAAGAGAGGAGUUUCUUCAGAGAAUGACUUCAGCAUCGGAAGACAAAUAUUUCUGUCACAGCCUGUAUCAAGACAGUCCUAACUCAUUUUCCUCUGAUGCCUAA
rnacentral:lncRNA from 1 species